CAGCCGGACCGGACGGUCGCUCUCCGCAAGGAGGGAGGAAAGUCCGAACUCCGCAGGGCAGUGUGCCGGAUAACGUCCGGGAAGCCGGGUUCAAGCCCGGUUGACGGAAAGUGCCACAGAAAACAUACCGCCUCGCUUAUGGCGAGGUAAGGGUGAAAAGGUGCGGUAAGAGCGCACCGCCGCGGCAGUAAUGUCGCGGGCAGGGCAAACCCCACACGGAGCAAGACCAAAUAGGGAGGGAAUUUCAGCUUCGGCUGGAACACGUGCCGGCCCGGUGCGUCCCAACCUCCGGGUAGGUCGCUAGAGCCAUGCAGUAAUGCGUGGCCCAGAGGAAUGACCGUCCCGCCGCAAGGCGGACAAAAUUCGGCUUACAGGUCCGGCUGCCAC
rnacentral:RNase_P_RNA from 1 species